GGUGGCUUAGUGGUAGAGUGCUUGCCUUGCAUGCAUGAGGCCCUGGGUUUGAUUCCCCAGCACCA
rfam:Dipodomys ordii contig_8136, whole genome shotgun sequence.